UACGGGGGGUGCAAGCGUUGUUCGGAAUCACUGGGCGUAAAGCGCACGUAGGCGGCUAGCCAUGUCGAAUGUGAAAGCCCUCGGCUCAACCGAGGAAGUGCAUUCGAAACUGGUUAGCUUGAGUUCGGUAGAGGAGAGUGGAAUUCCGGGUGUAGAGGUGAAAUUCGUAGAUAUCCGGAGGAACACCAGUGGCGAAAGCGACUCUCUGGGCCGAUACUGACGCUGAGGUGCGAAAGCGUGGGGAGCAAAC
rnacentral:rRNA from 1 species